rnacentral:rRNA from 1 species
UCGGGAAUCUUGGGCAAUGGGCGAAAGCCUGACCCAGCAACGCCGCGUGAGGGAUGAAGGCCCUCGGGUCGUAAACCUCUGUCGAGAGGGAAGAAAGUUUCGCAGGUUAAUACCCUGCGUUGUUGACGGUACCUCCAAAGGAAGCACCGGCUAACUCCGUGCCAGCAGCCGCGGUAAUACGGAGGGUGCAAGCGUUGUUCGGAAUCAUUGGGCGUAAAGCGGGUGUAGGCGGCUAGGCAAGUCGGGUGUGAAAUCCCAGGGCCCAACCCUGGAACUGCACUCGAUACUGCUUGGCUAGAGUCCCGGAGAGGAUGGCAGAAUUCCCGGUGUAGAGGUGAAAUUCGUAGAUAUCGGGAGGAAUACCAGUGGCGAAGGCGGCCAUCUGGACGGUGACUGACGCUCAGACCCGAAAGCGUGGGGAGCAAACAGGAUUAGAUACCCCCGUAGUCC